UUUGUGGGAAGGCUUCAUCGUUUGGUAACAAGGGACCACGUUUCUCAUGGAACUUUGGGUACACGUUAACAUGUAAGAACAAAAUUAUCCCAAAUACAAACUGUAUUUGGAUCGUCAUCAUUUUGGAUUCUUUCGAUGAUUUCGUCCCCUCCGCUUGGCUGAGAAACAAAGAAAUCAGCUACCAUGAGUGAAAACACCUUUAUUACUGCAAUUCUUUCUUCCCUCCUUUUAGUGCCCCCCCCCCCGCGCGCGCGCAUUUUAGUUGAAAAUUUUGCCACUUAAAAAGGAAGUUUUCUUAUAUCAUAGAACCUAGAGGUUAACAGGCAGCUUGAAAGACUUCUUUUUCCCUAACAUGACUUAAAUAGUUAGUUACACAGCAAAAAAAAAAAAAAUAAAAUAAAAUAAAAUCCUGGAGUGGGCACGCUGCUCCUUACCACAACACUCCUCUUCCUGUCCCAGAUGAAGUCUCCUCACCACGCUAAACCAUUGUGGGUCGGAAUUUUAAGGAUUAAUUUCACUUCCAAAGAAAGCCUGUUCGGAUAUUCCAAACACUACAGUAAUUCUGGCCCCUCUGAGGCUUUAGUGGCUGUUCCCUCUGAGCCUCAAGUCUGUCUAGUACAGCUUACAUGCUGCGAGGGUGGAGGUGGGGAGGGGCUCUGAAUGAGCUGACAUUUCCCUGCCAGCCCCAGUAAUAACAAGUCAGUGCUCCCACUAAGAGCCCCAGGAAAGGACAACACACACCACGGGCAGGAACAGAGCCCUGUGGUCUUUUUGACAACGGCAUAAUUCUCAAAGAAAUGGUGCAAACCCUGAAGAAGCGGAAUGCAUCCUCUCAUCAGUUU
rnacentral:lncRNA from 1 species